AGAAAGGAUCUUUUAAGAUCCAUCAUCCUUUCUCUCUCUAGAUUUGU
rfam:Amborella trichopoda AMTR_V1.0_contig_38544, whole genome shotgun sequence.